rnacentral:rRNA from 1 species
GAUGAACGCUGACAGAAUGCUUAACACAUGCAAGUCUACUUGAAUUUGGGUUUUUAACUUAGGUUUGGGUGGCGGACGGGUGAGUAACGCGUAAAGAACUUGCCUCACAGCCAGGGACAACAUUUAGAAAUGAAUGCUAAUACCUAAUAUUAUGAUAAUAGGGCAUCCUAUAAUUAUGAAAGCUAUAUGCGCUGUGAGAGAGCUUUGCGUCCUAUUAGCUAGUUGGUAAGGUAAAGGCUUACCAAGGCGAUGAUAGGUAGCCGGCCUGAGAGGGUGGACGGCCACAAGGGGACUGAGAUACGGCCCUUACUCCUACGGGAGGCAGCAGUGGGGAAUAUUGGACAAUGGAGGAAACUCUGAUCCAGCAAUUCUGUGUGUGUGAAGAAGGUCUUCGGAUUGUAAAACACUUUUAGUUGGGAAGAAACAAAUGACGGUACCAA